rnacentral:rRNA from 1 species
GAUGAACGCUAGCGGCAGGCCUAAUACAUGCAAGUCGAGGGAGAAGUUUUGUGCUUGCACGAGACGGAAACCGGCGAACGGGUGCGUAACACGUAUGCAACCUACCUCUAACAGGGGAAUAGCCCGAAGAAAUUCGGAUUAAUAUCCCAUAAUAUUAUAAUAAGGCAUCUUUUUAUAAUUAAAGUUCCGGCGGUUAGAGAUGGGCAUGCGGUCCAUUAGUUAGUUGGUGAGGUAACGGCUCACCAAGGCCACGAUGGAUAGGGGGUCUGAGAGGAUGAUCCCCCACACUGGUACUGAGACACGGACCAGACUCCUACGGGAGGCAGCAGUAGGGAAUAUUGGACAAUGGGCGAAAGCCUGAUCCAGCCAUGCCGCGUGCAGGAUGACUGCCCUAUGGGUUGUAAACUGCUUUUAUAUGGGAAGAAACACUCCGACGUGUCGGAGCUUGACGGUACCAUACGAAUAAGGAUCGGCUAACUCCG